rnacentral:rRNA from 1 species
UACGUAGGGGGCUAGCGUUGUCCGGAUUUAUUGGGCGUAAAGAGCGUGUAGGCGGCCAGGUAGGUCUGCUGUGAAAACUCGAGGCUCAACCUCGAGACGUCGGCGGAAACCAUCUGGCUAGAGUCCGGAAGAGGAGAGUGGAAUUCCUGGUGUAGCGGUGAAAUGCGCAGAUAUCAGGAAGAACACCCGUGGCGAAGGCGGCUCUCUGGGCCGGUACUGACGCUGAGGAGCGAAAGCGUGGGGAGCGAACAGG